AGCACCGUGAGGAAGUGGUCAUCCCCCCGGGCUCAUAACUUGGAGAAUGCGCGUUCAAAUCGCACCGAUGCAA
rnacentral:tRNA from 1 species